rnacentral:rRNA from 1 species
GAUGAACGCUAGCGGCAGGCCUAACACAUGCAAGUCGAACGGUAACAUGAGUAGCAAUACUUGAUGACGAGUGGCGCACGGGUGCGUAACGCGUAUGCAACUUACCUCUAACUGGAGAAUAGCCUUCCGAAAGGAAGAAUAAUACUCCAUAAUAUUACGAUGUGGCAUCACAUUGUUCUUAAAGCUUCGGCGGUUAGAGAUGGGCAUGCGUCUGAUUAGCUUGUUGGUGAGGUAACGGCUCACCAAGGCAACGAUCAGUAGGGGGCCUGAGAGGGUUAUCCCCCACACUGGUACUGAGACACGGACCAGACUCCUACGGGAGGCAGCAGUGAGGAAUAUUGGUCAAUGGACGAAAGUCUGAACCAGCCAUGCCGCGUGCAGGAUGAAUGCCCUAUGGGUUGUAAACUGCUUUUAUAUAGGAAUAAACCCCCUUUACGUGUAAAGGGCUGAAGGUACUAUAAGAAUAAGGACCGGCUAACUCCGUGCCAGCA